GACGAACGCUGGCGGCGUGCUUAACACAUGCAAGUCGAACGGAAAGGCCCUGCUUUUGUGGGGUGCUCGAGUGGCGAACGGGUGAGUAACACGUGAGUAACCUGCCCUUGACUUUGGGAUAACAUCAGGAAACUGGGGCUAAUACCGGAUAGGAGCUCCUGCUGCAUGGUGGGGGUUGGAAAGUUUCGGCGGUUGGGGAUGGACUCGCGGCUUAUUAGCUUGUUGGUGAGGUAGUGGCUUACCAAGGCUAUGACGGGUAGCCGGCCUGAGAGGGUGAUCGGCCACACUGGAACGGAGACACGGUCCAGACUCCUACGGGAGGCAGCAGUAGGGAAUCUUCCGCAAUGGGCGAAAGCUUGACGGAGUAACGGCGCGUGAGUGAUGAAGGUCUUCGGAUCGGAAAACUCUGUUAUUAGGGAAGAACAAAUGUGUAAGUAACUAUGCACGUCUUGACGGUACCUAAUCAGAAAGCCACGGCUAACUACGUG
rnacentral:rRNA from 1 species